GCUACUUUAUUUUUCAACAUUAAUAAACUAAAAAAAAAAAAGGAAGAUUCAAACGGAAAAAGAAUUCAAAUUUAAAAAGAAAAAUAAACCCUAAAAGACUUAAAAAAAAAAAAAAAAAAACAGAAAAAUAGAGAGGGACUUGACCUCUGACUUUGAGGUUGAUGCGGGCGGCGGAUUGGUUGCUGGGCUUCGUAUCUUCCUUUCGCUGCCCAACUUUUUUUUUCUCAACGGUUCUUGUUUUGGAUUUUCUUCUCUAAUUCGAUAUUUAUAGAAUUGGGGUUUUCUUUUUUUUUCUCUGAUUUUCUUUUUUCUUAUUGAAGCACGAGCACACAAUUAUAAUUUAUUUUUCUUUCUCCCUAAAUGUCCUGAAUUUUUAUGAAAUUUUAGGUUGAACGAACAAGAAGAAAGGAUGAAUCAUGAAGGUAAACAGACCUAGGUUUCGAAAAGAAAAAAAAAAGAAAAACUAAAAAUAAUUUUAAAAAUUAAAAAAUUAUACUUAUUUUCAUCUGUCACUUAAAAAGGGGCAUGUGUUGCACCUUAAUAUUUCUGUGUGAAGGUUUUACAUUGUGUAAAUGAAUAACAUUUUAUCUUUAUUUCAAUAACAUAAAAGGUUUACUUCUAAAUUGACCAAUCACUUAAAUAUUUAAUAUUAAAUUUAUAAACAAACUUAUUUUAUGUAAUAAAAUGUGUUUGAUAUAUAACAUAUGAU
rnacentral:lncRNA from 1 species